GAAAACAUUGUUUCGUAACAAUUUCUUUGUUAAAAUUUAAGAAUGAAAAUAUCGUAAGUAUUCUUGACUUAAGUAAUUUGUAAAGAUAUAAAUACAAGAAAUUCGUAUAAAUAGCGAGUGAUUACAUUGUUUCAAUACUUUCUUUGUUUUGGAAGCGUUAGGAGUGAAAUGGAGAAUGUGAAGAUCUUGCUGAUAAUCUGCGUGAUUUACAUCAUCGGAUUUUCCUUUGUCAACGGAUACGAGAUUUGCACUGCAGAACAAGUAAAGGGCGAAUGUCACCUGGAGUGCGUGGUAGCCAAAUUACGCUUGUGCAGUGCGGAACCGCCUUGUGAAUGUCCUAAACCUCCGGAUCGACAAGGAAAGAAAAGAGGAAGACAUGAUAAUAAACAUUCGGGAAAACAUAAAGUUCGGAAAACUAUGUUACGAAAAUAAAGUUUCUGAAAGAUUUUCCUAUGUCGAAUUGAUAGAGUGUAAAACUGCAGAAAUUUUAUUUUAUAAUGCUUAAAAUUUUUUUGUCUUUUUUAUUAAGAAUUUUUAAAUAUUUCAUAAAAUG
rnacentral:lncRNA from 1 species